AGAGUUUGAUCCUGGCUCAGGAUGAACGCUAGCUACAGGCUUAACACAUGCAAGUCGAGGGGAAACGAUAGAGAAAGCUUGCUUUUUCUAGGCGUCGACCGGCGCACGGGUGAGUAACGCGUAUCCAACCUGCCCACCACUUGGGGAUAACCUUGCGAAAGUAAGACUAAUACCCAAUGAUAUCUCUAGAAGACAUCUGAAGGAGAUUAAAGAUUUAUCGGUGAUGGAUGGGGAUGCGUCUGAUUAGCUUGUUGGCGGGGUAACGGCCCACCAAGGCGACGAUCAGUAGGGGUUCUGAGAGGAAGGUCCCCCACAUUGGAACUGAGACACGGUCCAAACUCCUACGGGAGGCAGCAGUGAGGAAUAUUGGUCAAUGGGCGAGAGCCUGAACCAGCCAAGUAGCGUGCAGGAUGACGGCCCUAUGGGUUGUAAACUGCUUUUAUAAGGGAGUAAAGUGGGAGUCGUGACUCCUUUUGCAUGUACCUUAUGAAUAAGGACCGGCUAAUUCCGUGCCAGCAGCCGCGGUAAUACGGAAGGUCCGGGCGUUAUCCGGAUUUAUUGGGUUUAAAGGGAGCGUAGGCCGGAGAUUAAGCGUGUUGUGAAAUGUAGACGCUCAACGUCUGCACUGCAGCGCGAACUGGUUUCCUUGAGUACGCACAAAGUGGGCGGAAUUCGUGGUGUAGCGGUGAAAUGCUUAGAUAUCACGAAGAACUCCGAUUGCGAAGGCAGCUCACUGGAGCGCAACUGACGCUGAAGCUCGAAAGUGCGGGUAUCAAACAGGAUUAGAUACCCUGGUAGUCCGCACGGUAAACGAUGGAUGCCCGCUGUUGGUCUGAAUAGGUCAGCGGCCAAGCGAAAGCAUUAAGCAUCCCACCUGGGGAGUACGCCGGCAACGGUGAAACUCAAAUGAAUUGACGG
rnacentral:rRNA from 1 species